rnacentral:tRNA from 1 species
ACUUCCAAGAUUAUAGGACAGAGGUCUUCUAAACCUUAGGUAUAGGUUCAAAUCCUAUUGGACGCA